AUGCGUCUAAUCAAAAGAACUUUUCUUAUUCGUCUUUUUCUAUCUUCCCACUCAUCUCCACUAUACCCCUCGUCUUCUAAUUCCUUCAGUUCGACCAAAGAAUUCUCUAUAAUAAUUCGCAAAUCCAAAUCUGCUAAUUGUUCUCUAAUAGCACCUGCUCCUGUCGCAAUUUCCCGAUUUCGAAAUGUUGCAAAGCCUGGGGUAGAAAAAAAGGGAGAAAUGCUGUGGUUACAGGAUGCAAUUUCCUCUUCGAAUAAACCUCGUAAUCGUAAAAAGUGGGUUUUUUAG
rnacentral:rRNA from 1 species